rnacentral:tRNA from 1 species
UGUAGCUCAGUGGUAGAGCACUUGCCUCAAAGGUGUGAGGCCCUGGGUUUGAUCCUCAGCA